ACCAGAUGCGAUAGGUUUUUCACACGGUUGUUAUCUCAUAGUUCGUUUUUCCGAAACUCCUGUGACAGCAGUGCAGUCCUUUGAAGUAUAUCUACGUACAUAGUUCUUCUUCAAGUUGAUAGACAGUUUGAUUGUAACCGUGUUUUUCCGCGUUUUCAUCGAAUGUAUUAUUUUUUGCUCCAUAAUCGCGAGCAUGGAUGCAGCGUUACCUAUCGAUCGCCAAACAUACGAGAAACAUGGAGGACCAAAAAUAUGCAAGCAUAUCAACAAAGAUGGACUUUGUGAAAGCAACUUCGGGACCGGAUGUACAGGCAAAUGUGAAGUAUGGGGUAUAAUAUUCAACCAUGGGCAUUCAAUAAAACAAGAAAUUUUACUUUGCCGAAAUUCAAGUGGUUAUAUACAGGGAUGCCUGUAUACCUACGAUGGUAACGUUAGAAAAACUGAUUAUAAAAACGGCGAUUGCACCUAAAAUACACCAACACAAAAAAAAAACUGAUUUCCACCUCCUAAGUAUUUUGAGAUAUUUCUUCAUGACAGCAUAACAUCAUAUUUUAUAUCUAAUCAAAGAUUUUCACCAUGGUUCCCAAAGACCACGUUUUGUUGUAGAUUACCUCAUUAAUUAAUUUUACUUGUAUAAAUAAUAUAUUAUCUAUGUGUGCAAUUAAAUAAUUUUAUAAUUU